UUGAACGCUGGCGGCAUGCCUUACACAUGCAAGUCGAACGGCAGCACGGGGGCAACCCUGGUGGCGAGUGGCGAACGGGUGAGUAACACAUCGGAACGUGUCCUGUAGUGGGGGAUAGCCCGGCGAAAGCCGGAUUAAUACCGCAUACGACCUGAGGGAGAAAGCGGGGGAUCUUCGGACCUCGCGCUAGAGGGGCGGCCGAUGGCAGAUUAGCUAGUUGGUGGGGUAAAGGCCUACCAAGGCGACGAUCUGUAGCUG
rnacentral:rRNA from 2 species